GUGUCAGCAGCCGCGGUAAUACGUAGGUGGCAAGCGUUGUCCGGAAUUAUUGGGCGUAAAGCGCGCGCAGGCGGUCCUUUAAGUCUGAUGUGAAAUCUCGCGGCUCAACCGCGAGCGGUCAUUGGAAACUGGGGGACUUGAGUGCAGAAGAGGAAAGUGGAAUUCCAUGUGUAGCGGUGAAAUGCGCAGAGAUAUGGAGGAACACCAGUAGCGAAGGCGACUUUCUGGUCUGUAACUGACGCUGAUGUGCGAAAGCGUGGGGAGCAAACAGGAUUAGAUACCCGAGUAGUCC
rnacentral:rRNA from 1 species